AUGCUGGGCUGGCCCGGUGGGGUUGCGAUGACCGCGAGAGUCGGGUGCGUGGCGGCUAGGUCGAGCAGGAAGUCGAGAUCGUCCGGGGAUGGAGUGGAGUCUGACCGGAUCUCCUGCCGCCUGGAGCCCUCGGGCCGAUUCUCCUCCAAGUCUCUAUACGAAGCUAUUGCGGCCUCACCUGGCCCGGAGGCCCUCACAGCGCUCUGGGCAAUUACACUGCCUUUGAAGAUUAGGAUCUUCUUGUGGCAAUGGAUCCGCGGCCAGUUACCUUCAGGGGUGGAGUUUUGGCGGCCGCUUAGCCGCCCUCAAGACCGAGACGCAAUCGACAUCCUCAUCAACAAUCUUCGCGCGAUGGCUCUCCGAAACAUGUACGAUUUUAUCUACAUUGAAGCAUCUCUAAGCCCACUCAAUUUGAAGCCCAAGAUGAAGCCAGCCCAAACUGUUAUCUGUAAGCCAACCCAAAUACUGCCCCAUUACGGCCCAACGUCGAGAUCUGCCCAACUCAGUGCGCCGGCGUCCCGAGGCUGGCCGCACCGCCGCACUGGUGCUCCCACAGUCCCACUUCCGGUGGCCAGAGCCCAGAGGCCAGGCAGAAACCGAACCAAGCCUCCCCCCUCCCGGAGCUCCCCGGCGAGGGGGAUGCAGCGACUCGCGGUGACCCGGCGUGGCGGCGGGCCGGCUGCUCCAAGUUCGCUAAGCGUGCUGGAGGACGGACACCGGAGGCUAGGGCAACAAGUCCAGUGUCGCGCGCUCACGAGUCUCGUCGACCCUUUACGGCGGCUCGUCUCCGGCCUCCGUUGGCCGGAGGAGGCCAGGCAGGCAGGGGAUCGGAGAUUCGACGAAGGACCGGCGUCCCGUGUAAGAUGUCUCUUCUUCCUCCUACCAUUUCUUCUCUCCUUGUCUCUUUCUUUCCCGUCUCCUCCUCCCCGCAAAGGCCCAACCACGGCCACCCCCACCACGCCCCGCGCCCAGGAGCAAAGGCCGCCGCGAGCCGCCGCGCCCAGGGGCAAGGGCCGCUGCGCCCAGGAGCAAGGGCCGGCCGCCGCGAGCAGCCCCCAGGAGCAAAGGCCGCCGCGAGCCGCCGCGCCCAGGAGCACAGGCUGCCGCGAGCCGCCUCGCCCAGGGGCAAGGGCCGCCGCGCCCAGGAGCACAGGCUGCCGCGAGCCGCGCGCCGCGCCCAGGAGAAGCGGCAGCGGCCGGCAAGGAGCUCCGCCUGCACCCAGCCCGUCGAGCCGCCUCCUUUCGCCUGGCCCGCAACCUAGUCGGCGGUGCUGUUCCUGUUGCGACGGAAGGGAGCUCCAUGCGUCGCCCGGGACGGAAGGGAGCUCCACGGCGGUGCCAUGGCUGCUGGCCGGCGGCCCUCACGCCGGCUGCUGGCGCACGGCCACGGGGAGGGACCCGAUUGCUUUUUUCAAAAGUUUGCAGGGACCCGAUUGCGUUUUGAAAAGUUUGCAGGGACCUGAUGGCAUUUUUGAAAAGUUUACAGACACUGCCAUGUGGGACCCACAUGUCAGUUAA
rnacentral:rRNA from 1 species